GGAAGGAGUAAGUAACCUAUAUACACUACUGUGCCCUCAUAUCAAUUCUGGGUAUAGAUCUCGCCCUGUGAGCUGGAUGUCAGCUGGGACCCCGGUCUGAUUCUUUUCUCUCCUCUUCUCUCAGUGAGACAUGGAUGAAGAAGCUCUGGAGGGGGCAGAAGGCUCAGUCUAACAGGAUGAUCUGUGUUGCCUCUGGGCUAACUUCAGAAGAGCCAAGUGGCAGCUACUGACUCACCAUUUCCUGUGUCACGUAGGGUGGUGUGGAUGUUUGCACAGACCUCUGCUUGGAUCCAGCUUCCACUCUGCAGAGCCUUCCCUGGGGGACCUUUGGACUCGCCACAGACCUGGGUGGUUUCCUGGCCCAGGAGAGGGUUUUGGACUCCAUCAUUUCCUGAUAUCCCUUCUUUCUGAUUGGACACUCAUCCAAAGAGAGGCACUCAUCUUUCUGCUGAUGUUUCUGGAUGUUUUCCUGGGACUGUUGUCCAGAGAUGGGAUUUAGGAAGAAAAAGGCUUCAAGUAACAAGUUGGUGCUCACACUUAUCAGUACCUUCUGGCCCUCUGGUUAGAGGAUAGAGCCUUUAGCUCUAAAACCUCUAUUAAAGGAACAGCCCCAGGCCAGCUAUCUCUGUUUCUCACAUGGUUACAUGCCUUUGGACUUCUCCAUCCUGACUUCAUGGGCAAGAACUUUCUCUCCCCAGCCCAAUCUACUUCUGCUUCCUUUGUGUUACCUUCCACCAUUAGAUUGUAAACUCCUUGAGAGCAAGAACUGUGCCCCCUCCACUUUUUUUUUUUGGUAUUUGAAUCCCCAACACUCAGCACAGUGACAGAGUAGGUAUUUAAUAAAUAUUUAUUGAUUAAUUUAUUAGGCACUUAGAUACUUUAAUACUUGAGGGUCUCAAGAGCAUGGAGACUUCUUCCCACAUAAGCAGCAACUUCUCUCUGACUUGAGAGGCAACUUGGUACAGGUGAAAGAAUAGUGAGUCUAAAGUUAGAGGACCUGGGUUCAAAUCCUGCCUCUGAUACUUACCACCUAUGGGUCUCCAGGCAAGUCACUUAACUCUUCAUCUGUAAAAUGAAGGAAUGAAUGGCUCUACAUGAACUCUGAGGUCCCUUCCAGGUCUUGAUCUAGAAUUCUAUGGUGUAGUAAGAUGAUCUUUGAGAGUUUUUGCAGCCCUCCCACCCCCAAAUCAUCCUACUGCCAACUUGGUGAUUUAAUUCAAUUCAGUAAACAUUUCAUGGAAUUGUAGAAUCUCACAGAUGGAAGGGACCUUAGAGGCCAUACCUAAACAGGAAUUCUUGUCUCUCCCAAAUAAUCAUCCAUUUUUUAAAAAGAUCUCCAAUGAGGGAAGAAGUCUAUUUUCAUCAGAAGUAGUCCAUUCCUAUUCGUGUAUACCUCUUGUUGUUAGAGAUUUUCCCCUCUGACAUCAAGCCAAAUUUUGUUUCUCUAUAUUAUCUACCUCUAGCUCCCAAUACUAUCCUCCAGGAACUAGGAAAAUGUCUUUUACUUCUCUUCCCCUCCCUAAUCUCAUCUUCUUUAAGCUAGAAAACUCCAAUUGCAGUGGUAUGCUGGAUGGAGCUGGCUUGUAUUAGCUUGUGAGAGCCAGUUGUUAAAUAUUCAAUGUGAUCAUCACAGAGAAGGUAAAAUGCUGAAAGUCUGAGCUU